rnacentral:rRNA from 1 species
CCUACGGGGUGCAGCAGUGGGGAAUAUUGGACAAUGGGCGAAAGCCUGAUCCAGCCAUGCCGCGUGUGUGAAGAAGGCCUUCGGGUUGUAAAGCACUUUCAGUGGGGAAGAAAGCCUUGGGGCUAAUACCCUCGAGGAAGGACAUCACCCACAGAAGAAGCACCGGCUAACUCCGUGCCAGCAGCCGCGGUAAUACGGAGGGUGCGAGCGUUAAUCGGAAUUACUGGGCGUAAAGCGCGCGUAGGCGGUCUGAUAAGCCGGUUGUGAAAGCCCCGGGCUCAACCUGGGAACGGCAUCCGGAACUGUCAGGCUAGAGUGCAGGAGAGGAAGGUAGAAUUCCCGGUGUAGCGGUGAAAUGCGUAGAGAUCGGGAGGAAUACCAGUGGCGAAGGCGGCCUUCUGGACUGACACUGACGCUGAGGUGCGAAAGCGUGGGUAGCAAACAGGACUAGAUACCCGUGUAGUC